UACGGAGGGUGCAAGCGUUAUCCGGAUUCACUGGGUUUAAAGGGUGCGUAGGUGGGUUGCCAAGUCCGUGGUGAAAUCUCCGAGCUUAACUCGGAAACUGCCGUGGAUACUGGUAAUCUUGAAUAUCGUGGAGGUAUGCGGAAUAUGUCAUGUAGCGGUGAAAUGACUUAGAUAUGACAUAGAACACCGAUAGCGGAGGCAGCAUGCUACACGAUCAUUGACACUGAGGCACGAAAGCGUGGGGAGCAAACAGG
rnacentral:rRNA from 1 species